rnacentral:rRNA from 1 species
UGACUAAGCCAUGCAAGUCGAGAGGUGUAAGACCUCGGCAUACUGCUCAGUAACACGUGGUUAACCUGCCCUAAGGUGGAGAAUACUCCCGGGAAACUGGGGCUAAUGCUCCAUAGUGGAUAUGUCCUGGAAUGGUAUAUCCUCGAAAGAUCCGUCGCCUUAGGAUGGGACUGCGUCCGAUUAGGUUGUUGGCGGGGUAACGGCCCACCAAGCCAUUGAUCGGUACGGGUUGUGGGAGCAAGAUCCCGGAGAUGGAUUCUGAGACAUGAAUCCAGGCCCUACGGGGCGCAGCAGGCGCGCAAACUUUACAAUGCGAGCAAUCGUGAUAAGGAAACCCUGAGUGCCUGUCGAUGCAGGCUGUUCAUAUAUCUAAAUCAUAUGUGAAGAAAGGGCAGGGCAAGACCGGUGCCAGCCGCCGCGGUAAUACCGGCUGCUCGAGUGAUGGCCACUAUUACUGGGUUUAAAGCGUCCGUAGCUUGACUGUUAGGUCUCUUGGGAAAUCUUCACGCUCAACGUGAAGGCGUCUAAGAGAUACCGGCAGUCUUGGAACUGGGAGAGGUAAACCGUACUUCGGGGGUAGGAGUGAAAUCUUGUAAUCCUCGAGGGACGACCUAUGGCGAAGGCAGUUUACCAGAACAGCUUCGACAGUGAGGGACGAAAGCUGGGGGAGCAAACGGGAUUAGAUACCCCGGUAGUCCCAGCCGUAAACAAUGUGCGUUAGGUGUGUCGGUAACCACGUGUUACUGAUGCGCCGAAGAGAAAUCGUGAAACGCACCACCUGGGAAGUACGGUCGCAAGGCUGAAACUUAAAGGAAUUGGCGGGGGAGCA